GGAUGUGAGGGCGAUCUGGCUGCAACAUCUGUCACCCCACUGAUCGCCAGGGUUGAUUUGGCUGAUCUGGCUGGCUAGGCAGGCGUCCCCUUCCUCCCUCCGCGCUCCAUCUGCGUCCCUCCCAAAGCUGCAUGCUCGGUCGAAGAGGAUGACUUUCCCCGAUAGAGGAGGACCGUUCUUUGGUCAAGGGUACACGAGUAGCUGUGCUCCCUACUAGAACCUCCAGACGAGCUCUCAAAGUGUAUCUAACGUCAUAAACAAGGAUUGUGCUGUCCACCGUGCUCCAUUUA
ensembl:misc_RNA 7SK 7SK RNA